rnacentral:rRNA from 1 species
UUGACCUACGGGGGGCAGCAGUGGGGAAUAUUGCACAAUGGGGGAAACCCUGAUGCAGCGACGCCGCGUGAGUGAAGAAGUAUUUCGGUAUGUAAAGCUCUAUCAGCAGGGAAGAUAAUGACGGUACCUGACUAAGAAGCUCCGGCUAACUACGUGCCAGCAGCCGCGGUAAUACGUAGGGAGCAAGCGUUAUCCGGAUUUAUUGGGUGUAAAGGGUGCGUAGACGGGAAAUUAAGUUAGUUGUGAAAUCCCUCGGCUCAACUGAGGAACUGCAACUAAAACUGAUUUUCUUGAGUGCAGGAGAG